GGGCACCACCAGGGGGUGCAGCUGCGGCUUAUUUGACUCAUCACGGGAAAUCUCACCAGGCCCGGACACCGGAAGGAUUGACAGAUUAACAGCUCUUUCUUGAUUCGGUGGGUGGUGGUGCAUGGCCGUUCUUAGUUGGUGGAGCGAUUUGUCUGGUUAAUUCCGGUAACGAACGAGACUCUAGCCUGCUAAAUAGGCGUCACCAUUUAGGUGUGCUCGACUUCGGUCGUGCAACUCACUGGCGGCGUAUUAAAAUUCUUCUUAGAGGGACCGGCGGCUUCGAGCCGCACGAGAUUGAGCAAUAACAGGUCUGUGAUGCCCUUAGAUGUCCUGGGCCGCACGCGCGCUACAUUGAAGGAAUCA
rnacentral:rRNA from 1 species